rnacentral:lncRNA from 1 species
CAACAGCUCAGUUCCAGCAUGGUGCCUGCUUUGCUGCUCGCCCAAGCGCAAGCACCAUUACUGCUGAAUGAACCUGAGAAGGAGCCGGUUCUCUCCGUAAUUUGGAUGCCAGGCCUCCCAGAGUUAAUCAUCAGCUGCAGGCAGCACUUUCCCAGUCAGGUCAUAAACAAGGAAAAAACAGCCUGAGUAUCACGAAAACACUAAAAUAAGGAAGACCAGCGGCAACCGAACAUUUUAAAGUAAUGAAGGUGAAGGAAGACCAGGGGCAACUGAACAUUUUAAAGUAAUGAAGGUGAAUUAGCUUGUUGGGGGGAAAAAAAGUCGCUAUAAAAUACAGCUUUCAAUUAGUUGGAAACCAUGCAAGAAAUCUAAAUAUGAUUUCUAAUGUGAA